AUUGAACGCUGGCGGCAGGCCUAACACAUGCAAGUCGAACGAGUGGUGGACGGGUGAGUAAUGUCUGGGAAACUGCCUGAUGGAGGGGGAUAACUACUGGAAACGGUAGCUAAUACCGCAUACCAUCAGAUGUGCCCAGAUGGGAUUAGCUUGUUGGUGGGGUAACGGCUCACCAAGGCGACGAUCCCUAGCUGGUCUGAGAGGAUGACCAGCCACACUGGAACGGAGACCCGUUCCAGAUUCCUACGGGAGGCAGCAGUGGGAAAUAUUGCACAAUGGGCGCAAGCCUGAUGCAGCCAUGCCGCGUGUAUGAAGAGGGCCUUCGGGUUGUAAAGUACUUUCAGCGGGGAGGCGUUACCCGCAGAGGAAGCACCGGCUAACUCCGGGCCAGCAGCCGCGGUAAUAC
rnacentral:rRNA from 1 species